AUUCUCUAGUUGAAUACAUUUUUUUGCUAUAAGUUACCUUACUGAUAACUUUAUUCAAUCUGUUUAUUCUACCGAUUAAUAAACAGAGGCCAAGAGAAGAUAAUGCAUUGCCCACAGUUCACGACUAGUAAUCACAAGUGGUUAGUAUUAAGCUGAAACAUUUUGGCUUUUUCCCCAUUUUUCUACACUAGAUUGGUUGACUCUACUCUUUAUUUAACUGAUGCAUUAAUUUUAUGAGUUACAGGUGAUUGGCACUACAAGUAAUGCCAUUUUCACUCAAUUCUUUAUAAAAUUUGCCAUAUCUUUCUCCUUUCAGGUCUUUCAGCAUAACUGUGCCUUCGCAGACUGAUGACACCUGCACUCAUACAAUGAAACAUCACACAGAGUUGAUCUCAUUUUCUCAUAGGAUUGGGUAUUUCCAGGCUCAGCACUUCCUGACACAGCUGCCCAGGGGUUCACAAGCCAACCCAGAGGACUGCUGGAAAGCCACAGGACCAAAAGGCUCUGGUUCUGCAAAUUUGCAGAUGAGGCACCUGUCAUCUACAAUUUCUCAUUCCCCCCUUAUGCAAUGAUUUGUUCAUUAUUGAAAGGAAAUAGAGGAAUAAGAGUUUAUGUAUUGGGUGGACACCCAAUUAGAAGCAAGGAUGGAAAGUAGAAACAAUGACAAAUAGUACCGGCAAUAUCUAAAUUUAAAAAAAAAAAAAACACAUUUAAUUUGAGCCAGCCCAGAGACCUGCCUAGGAUGUACAUGCACUCAUAUAUGCACACACACACACACACACAUGCACACUAUUCAGUCCUCUUGACUUAAUAUUUGCAGGCCAAAAAAAUGGUUGCUUUAUAAUUUUAACAAAUCAUCAUCUUUUAGUGACAUCCUUAUUUAGUGUCUUCUCAAGCUUUCUUUAACUAAGGAGCUCAGCUUGUGGCACAGACAUAUCCCACUAGCUUGUGAGAUGGAAUUAGUGAUAAAGACCUUGAAUUUGGAUUGAAAGGUUUCCUAUCUUUACAUUGUUGAGAAAGUC
rnacentral:lncRNA from 1 species